UACGUAGGGUGCGAGCGUUGUCCGGAAUUAUUGGGCGUAAAGGGCUCGUAGGCGGUCUGUCACGUCGGGAGUGAAAACUCAGGGCUUAACCCUGAGCCUGCUUCCGAUACGGGCAGACUAGAGGUAUGCAGGGGAGAACGGAAUUCCUGGUGUAGCGGUGAAAUGCGCAGAUAUCAGGAAGAACACCGGUGGCGAAGGCGGCUCGUCUGGGCCUUACCUGACGCUGAGGAGCGAAAGCGUGGGUAGCGAACAGG
rnacentral:rRNA from 1 species